GUGUAAGCCCUCUGUACAAUCAUACAUUUUCAAUCAACUUUGCUGGAUUGUCCUUUUUUCUCCACAAAGACCUUGAGCAUGCAAAAACAUUCAUCAUGGACGAAUGACUCCCAAGCAGACUCAAGGCAUGCCACCCCUACAACAUGGCAGCACAAGAGAUGCUCAAUUCCAUCCCUGAAGACAUCUCCAGAGAUGCCUGGCUGGCAGCAGCUUGGAAGCAGGAGUGGGAGGCAGCUGGCCCCUCCCUCAUGCACAGUUAUGUCUGGGAACCAGGAGACGGCGCCAUAGGAGGAGACGAACUACCUCGCCAGCAGUGGACCACACUGAACCGCUUAAGAACUGGUGUUGGGCGCUUCAACAUGUCUAGUGGGGUCUGGCGGACAGUGCGGCAUGCGAGUGCGGAGCCCUCGAGCAGACAGCCGACCACACCAUCAACACCUACACCAACAUAUAGACCACCCUCAGAGGCCGGCCUCUUCGACCUGGGACCAGAGAUGCUGGCGUGGCUCCACGACACCAAGUUGGAGCGCUGACGUUACACGAGAGAGAGAGAGAGAGAGAGAGAGAGAGAGAGAGAGAGAGAGAGAGAGAGAGAGAGAGAGAGAGAGAGAGAGAGAGAGACUCCCAAACCAGGGUGGCAAGAAGCAGGACUUCUCAUUCCUCUUUUUCUAUGUUGCGUGUGGCUCCACAUGCUCCAUUUGUCUAGACCAUUUGUUUGGCCACCUUGGUACUCAGCCUUGAUGAGACCUGGCCUGUCUCGCCAAAAAAAUGACCGACAUUUUAAGAAGAUCCAUGGGACCAGUGUUAUUCUCCUUUUCUAUUGACUCCAAGCAACAGCACAGGGAGAGCCAAGACUUUCCAAAAGACCUGUACAACGGAGGCCAGCAUCAUGAAACACAAACUCCCAAACCAGCAUGGUAACAUGAAACACAAACUCCCAAACCAGCAUGGUAACACACAGGACUUCUUCUGAUUCUUCUUAUGUUCUUGGGUCUUGCCUGUGGUUCUACACGCAUCCAGAAAUGCAGACAAAGAACAGCUUGGCCUUUAACAGUCGGAAGCCUCUGAUUUUACUCUACUAAGCCUCAGAUACAGUCUGUUUUCUGUUCUCAUUCAUUCAUUCAUUCAUUCAUUCAUUCAUUCAUUCAUUCAUUCAUUCAUUUAUUUAUUUAUUUAUUUAUUUAUUUAUUUAUUUAUUUAUUUAUUUAUUUAUUUAUUUAUUUAUUUAUUUAUUUAUUUAUUUAUUUAUUUAUUUAUUUAUUAUAUUUUUUGCCUCAAAUUAUGUUUGCAUUAGCUUUUGUAUAACAGCGUCUUCAAUCAUGUUGCACUUAAACUCUUAAAAAAUAACACUGAAAUUAACAUAACAUCCAUCCAUCCAUUCAUUCUCUGAACCGCUUAGUCCCCACGCGGGCCGCAGGUGUGCUGGAUCCUAUCCCAGCCGUCAUCGGGCAGUAGGUGGGGGACGCCCUGAACCGGUUGCCAGCCAAUCGCAGGGUACACAGCGAUUAUUAUCUAUUGAAUCAGUAAAAUACUUGAUAUGUUUUUAUUUGUUAUGUCUUCAGCGUUUUUGAAAGUUAUUCAUAUUAUUUCUUGCAUUACUUCUU